GAUGAGCUGUCCGCUCGGUUAAUUAGCCCGGAGUGCUGAUGAGGAGGCGGAUCAGGUGUCCGUGUGACCGCUGGCCUCUGCUCACACACGGGCAGACAGUGACGGGAAGGCCGGGCCCUGAGACCGCAGAGUCUGCAAGCUUCAGUCUCCAGUCAUCAAAAGUUUGGAGUGUGAUUUGUCUCUGUGUUUGUGGAACAACAGGAAAAAACACGACAAGCACAGACCUCACUUCACCCUGUGGGUCAAGAAAGCAGCACAAGGCUUUAUAAGCAACAUACUGUACACAAGCCAAGAGCCCUGAACAGAG